rnacentral:rRNA from 1 species
CAGCAGCCACGGGAAUACAGAGGGUGCAAGCGUUAAUCGGAUUUACUGGGCGUAAAGCGUGCGUAGGCGGCUUUUUAAGUCGGAUGUGAAAUCCCUGAGCUUAACUUAGGAAUUGCAUUCGAUACUGGGAAGCUAGAGUAUGGGAGAGGAUGGUAGAAUUCCAGGUGUAGCGGUGAAAUGCGUAGAGAUCUGGAGGAAUACCGAUGGCGAAGGCAGCCAUCUGGCCUAAUACUGACGCUGAGGUACGAAAGCAUGGGGAGCAAACAGGAUUAGAUACCCCAGUAGUCCCUGUCUCUUAUAC